AGAUUUGCACAGCUGCAGUAUUGUAGCCAAUGAGAUUAAUCUGAGGCACAAUCAUUGUUAAUUGAAAACUUUUCCUAGUACGCCAACAAGAUGACUUGAAAUACAGUCAGCAUUUGCAUGGCCCCUAAUCAAGAAUG
rfam:Caprimulgus carolinensis contig54088, whole genome shotgun sequence.